UACGUAGGGGGCAAGCGUUUGGUCCGGAUUUACUGGGCGUAAAGAGCGUGUAGGCGGCCAAACAGGUCCGUUUGUGAAAAACUGGAGGCUCAACCUCCAGACGUCGACGGAAACCGUGUGGCUAGAGUCCGGAAGAGGAGAGUGGAAUUCCCGGUGUAGCGGUGAAUGCGCAGAUAUCGGGAAGAACACCCGUGGCGGAAGGCGGCCUCUCUGGGGACGGUAGCUGACGCUGAGACGCGAAAGCGUGGGGAGCGAAGCAGG
rnacentral:rRNA from 1 species